AUACUUACCUGGCAGGGGAGAUACCAUGAUCACAAAGGUGGUUUUCCCGGGGCAAGGCUUAUCCAUUGCACCCAGAUGUGCUGACCCCUGCGAUUUCCUCAAAUGUGGAAAACUCAACAGCAUAUAUUUAAAAAAAAAAAAAAAAAUCCUUUUAGUUGUUA